AGGUCAAGCUACAAAGGGCGCAUGGAGGAUGCCUUGGCACCAGGAGCCUAAGAAGGACGCGAUAAGCUGCGAAAAGCUCUGGGUAGGCGCAAAUAGCCAGAGAACCAGAGAUA
rnacentral:rRNA from 1 species